rnacentral:rRNA from 1 species
AUUGAACGCUGGCGGCAGGCCUAACACAUGCAAGUCGAACGGUAACAGGGAUCAGCUUGCUGAUUCGCUGACGAGUGGCGGACGGGUGAGUAAUGUCUGGGAAACUGCCUGAUGGAGGGGGAUAACUACUGGAAACGGUAGCUAAUACCGCAUAACGUCGCAAGACCAAAGAGGGGGACCUUCGGGCCUCUUGCCAUCGGAUGUGCCCAGAUGGGAUUAGCUAGUAGGUGGGGUAACGGCUCACCUAGGCGACGAUCCCUAGCUGGUCUGAGAGGAUGACCAGCCACACUGGAACUGAGACACGGUCCAGACUCCUACGGGAGGCAGCAGUGGGGAAUAUUGCACAAUGGGCGCAAGCCUGAUGCAGCCAUGCCGCGUGUAUGAAGAAGGCCUUCGGGUUGUAAAGUACUUUCAGCGGGGAUGAAGGGAGUAAAGUUAAUACCUUUGCUCAUUGACGUUACCCGCAGAAGAAGCACCGGCUAACUCCGUG